UUCCGCCCGUCGCUACUACCGAUUGAAUGG
rnacentral:rRNA from 1 species